UGUAAGUAGGGCAAGCCGCUUCCUGGUUCUCAGAAAGAAGGAGCUGGGAGUCGGAGUGGGCCAGCGGAGGCAGCACACAGGGGGUCAGAGCAGCCCAGAGAGCCGGCGGUCUGCAGAGACAAGAGACGAGAGGACCUACAAGAAAAACGCCGACGUACGAUUUGGUGAAGAUUAGGCUAAAACCUCCCGGGUGUCGAUCUGAGGACGAAAGCAGCGGUGACCCCCGGUGGAGAAGAAAAGACAAGAGCUGUGAGGAUAAAAAAAGAAGAAGAAGUAGGCAGGGUGGGACGGAAUAAUCCAGGAAGUGUGGAGGACGGUCAGGUGGGAGGCGACGAGUCUGAACAGGUGACACACCGGCACCCAGGUGUAUGACCUCUGCUGAUCUCCGGGCAAAGGACCAAAGAGGAGGGGGACGAGCAAGAGGCAGAAGAAAGCAGGCACCCAUCUUCUCCUGGGUUUAUGGACCGGAGGUGGCAAUGUCUCCAGGAGAGGACGGUCUGAUUGGGAUCCCCUUCCCGGAGCACAGCAACGAGCUCUUGUCC
rnacentral:lncRNA from 1 species